AGCCUUCCAGUAAUCCAUCUAAUA
rnacentral:siRNA from 1 species